CGGAGGGAUCAUUACACAAAUAUGAAGGCGGGCUGGAACCUCUCGGGGUUACAGCCUUGCUGAAUUAUUCACCCUUGUCUUUUGCGUACUUCUUGUUUCCUUGGUGGGUUCGCCCACCACUAGGACAAACAUAAACCUUUUGUAAUUGCAAUCAGCGUCAGUAACAAAUUAAUAAUUACAACUUUCAACAACGGAUCUCUUGGUUCUGGCAUCGAUGAAGAACGCAGCGAAAUGCGAUAAGUAGUGUGAAUUGCAGAAUUCAGUGAAUCAUCGAAUCUUUGAACGCACAUUGCGCCCUUUGGUAUUCCAAAGGGCAUGCCUGUUCGAGCGUCAUUUGUACCCUCAAGCUUUGCUUGGUGUUGGGCGUCUUGUCUCUAGCUUUGCUGGAGACUCGCCUUAAAGUAAUUGGCAGCCGGCCUACUGGUUUCGGAGCGCAGCACAAGUCGCACUCUCUAUCAGCAAAGGUCUAGCAUCCAUUAAGCCUUUUUUUCAACUUUGACCUCGGAUCAG
rnacentral:rRNA from 1 species